GAAUGUAGCUCAGUUGGUAGAAUGCUUGCCUCAUAAGCAUAAUAAGGCCCUGGGUUCAAUCCCCAGCACCA
rnacentral:tRNA from 1 species